CACUGGAGCCAGGGUCCACGGUCUACCGCCCCAUCCUGUCUGAUUUCGGAAGCUAAGCAGGAUUGGGCCUGGUUAGUAAUUGGAUGGGAGACCACCUAGAAAGACUAGGUGCUGUAGGGA
rnacentral:rRNA from 1 species